UCCUACGGGAGGCAGCAGUAGGGAAUCUUCCGCAAUGGACGAAAGUCUGACGGAGCAACGCCGCGUGAGUGAUGAAGGCUUUCGGGUCGUAAAACUCUGUUGUUAGGGAAGAACAAGUGCUAGUUGAAUAAGCUGGCACCUUGACGGUACCUAACCAGAAAGCCACGGCUAACUACGUGCCAGCAGCCGCGGUAAUACGUAGGUGGCAAGCGUUAUCCGGAAUUAUUGGGCGUAAAGCGCGCGCAGGUGGUUUCUUAAGUCUGAUGUGAAAGCCCACGGCUCAACCGUGGAGGGUCAUUGGAAACUGGGAGACUUGAGUGCAGAAGAGGAAAGUGGAAUUCCAUGUGUAGCGGUGAAAUGCGUAGAGAUAUGGAGGAACACCAGUGGCGAAGGCGACUUUCUGGUCUGUAACUGACACUGAGGCGCGAAAGCGUGGGGAGCAAACAGGAUUAGAUACCCUGGUAGUCCACGCCGUAAACGAUGUCUACUUGGAGGUUGUGGCCUUGAGCCGUGGCUUUCGGAGCUAACGCGUUAAGUAGACCGCCUGGGGAGUACGGUCGCAAGAUUAAAACUCAAAUGAAUUGACGGA
rnacentral:rRNA from 1 species